rnacentral:rRNA from 1 species
GAUGAACGCUAGCUACAGGCUUAACACAUGCAAGUCGAGGGGAAACGACAUCGAAAGCUUGCUUUUGAUGGGCGUCGACCGGCGCACGGGUGAGUAACGCGCAUCCAACCUGCCCACCACUUGGGGAUAACCUUGCGAAAGUAAGACUAAUACCCAAUGAUAUCUCUAGAAGACAUCUGAAGGAGAUUAAAGAUUUAUCGGUGAUGGAUGGGGAUGCGGCUGAUUAGCUUGUUGGCGGGGUAACGGCCCACCAAGGCUACGAUCAGUAGGGGUUCUGAGAGGAAGGUCCCCCACAUUGGAACUGAGACACGGUCCAAACUCCUACGGGAGGCAGCAGUGAGGAAUAUUGGUCAAUGGACGGGAGUCUGAACCAGCCAAGUAGCGUGCAGGAUGACGGCCCUAUGGGUUGUAAACUGCUUUUAUAAGGGAAUAAAGUGAGUCUCGUGAGACUUUUUGCAUGUACCUUAUGAAUAAGGACCGGCUAAUUCCGUGCCAGCAGCCGCAGUAA